AAAAAAGUAGGAGGAAUUUUAGGGUAUGUCUAGGUAUACCCGUCAUUUCCAAAAUUAUGAUUUAAUUUGUGAAUUAAGUUAAUUUACUUUGUUUUUUAUACUUUUAUUGAACUAAAUGGUUUAUAAAAUAGUAGUGAUUAGUUUUAUUAAAUUUAUUAAUUGUAUAAUAUAGUAAUAGUUUAUAGUUCCAACAAAUAUUUGUGCCAGCAGUUGCGGUUAUACAAAAGGUGCUACUUAAUUUUUGUGGUUUUAGUUAAUUAAUUAUAAUAUUUAUAAAAUUUGUAUUGAGAGGUGAAAUUUUAAUAUUGAAUUAAGGAUUCAAAAAUAAAUGAUCUAGGAAAAUGUUUUUUUAAACCAGGAUUAGAUACCCUGUUAUUAACAUUGUAUAAUUAUAGCCGAGUUAGUAUUAGUUAAGAGCUUGAAAAUUAAAUGUCUUGGCGGUACCCAAACCUGCCGGAGGAACCUGUCCUGUAAUUGAUAAUCCACGAUUUAUUUUACUUUUAUGUUGCUUGUAUAUCGUUGUUGAAAUGAACAUUUCGAAAGAAUUGUAAUUUUCUAUAAGUAAAAUUUUACUUUAGAUCAAAUCAAGGUGCAGUUUUAUAGAAGAAGUUAUGGGUUACAUUUAUAAUUUUGAAUUUGUAAAUUUUAUUUUGUUAGGAUUUGGAAGUAAUUUUAUUUAUUAAAAUAGAAUGAAUGGGGCUCUAGGGUAUGCACAUAUCGCCCGUCGCUUUCACAAAUUUGUGAAAUAAGUCGUAACAUAGUAGAUUUAUCGGAAGAUGACUCUGGAAUGG
rnacentral:ncRNA from 1 species